GAAGGUAUAGUUCAGUGGUAGAGUAUGUGCUCAGCAUGCAUGAGUUCCUGGGUUCAAUUCCCAGCACCUCCA
rnacentral:tRNA from 1 species